rnacentral:rRNA from 1 species
AUGAUCGUCCUCUUCAGUGUUGUUAUCAUCCGGUGCACCUCCAGACCUCUGGUAGAGCGCCGAGAUGACAGGGUUGCACACGUCUUCAAGCUCCCGGAGCUUCUCAUCGUAGUCCUCCUUCUCCGCCUCCGGGUUGUCGUCGAGCUACUCAUUCACCUCCCUCACUGCAUCCUGUACCUUCUCCUUGUCAUCUCCUUCCAUGGCGUCAGCCAUCUUGCCGUCGAGCGUGUUCUUGAUGUCGUACACGUACGCCUCGAGCUUGUUCCUAGCGUCGACCCGCUCCUUGACCUUGCGAUCCUCCUCCAUGAACUCCUCUGCCUCGCGCACCAUCCGGUCGAUCUCCUCCUGGCUAUGCCGGCCGCCCUCGUUGGUGAUGGUGAUCUUCUCCGACUUGCCGGUGCCCUUGUCCGCCGCCUUCACGUGCAGGAUGCCGUUCACGUCCACCUCGAACGUCACCUCGAUCUGCGGUGCGCCCCUCGGAGCUGGUGGGAUUCCAGAGAGAUCAAACUUGCCGAGCAGCCUGUUGUCCUUGGUCAUGCUCCUCUCGCCCUCGUACACCUUGAUGGACACGGUGGUCUGCUUGUCCUGGUACGUCGUGAACACCUGCGUCUUCUUCGUCGGCACCACCGUGUUCCUCGGGAUCAGCUUCGUCAUCACACCGCCGACCGUCUCCAGGCCUAG